AUUGAACGCUAGCGGGAUGCUUUACACAUGCAAGUCGAACGAGUGGCGGACGGGUGCGUAAUAUCUCGGAACGUGCCCAGUAGCGGGGGAUAACUACUCGAAAGCGUGGCUCAUCCCGCAUACCAUCGGAGCGGCCGAUAUCGGAUUAGCUGGUUGGUGGGGUAAAGGCUCACAAAGGCGACGAUCCGUAGCUGGUUUGAGAGGACGACCAGCCACACUGGGACUGAGACACGGCCCAGAUUCCUACGGGAGGCAGCAGUGGGGAAUUUUGGACAAUGGGGGAAACCCUGAUCCAGCCAUCCCGCGUGUAUGAGAAGGCCUUCGGGUUGUAAAGUACUUUUGGCAGGGAAGCGGUAUCUGCAGAAUAAGCACCGGCUAACUACGUGCCAGCAGCCGCGGUAAUUC
rnacentral:rRNA from 1 species